UAUGAUCAAGGUAAGCAUCAAUAUAACCUAUCACCACGCUACUGCAAUACUUCAUGACAAUUUCUUUAGCAUCAGGAAAUGUACUUCAACCUAAGGAGUAAGGCUAUUGCUGUGAUUUCCAUUUUUGCGGUUUUUUAUCAUGAAAACUUCAGUGUGCUUCUUAGUAUAGAGCACCUAAUAGAUCCUUAAGCCAAUGCUGACCUUUGUCCAUGAAGGAAGAGGGACAUCCAGCAACGUUCUGCUCCAUCCAUAUCUUCCCGACGUACGCUCAUCUAGCUUCACUGCUUUUGCUGCUACAACUUGUCUUACUUCACCGACGAGUUGGAACACUUCAGUGGUCGCUACCCUUUGCUGUUACACUCCUGCAGUUACUCACCACGGGAUUAUGCCCAGGUAAUGCACGUCGAGAAGAUGGACACCAUAACGUCGCCGGUAUCUCCAAAAUGUCAGCGCGGAUCAUCAUUUGUUGUUGGUAAUAUUGUUGUGUUGGUUAACCCGCUGUCUGCCACGCCUUUGUAUUCCCCUGCACGGGCCGCGCUGUUCGGUCUCGUGGUUUACAAGCCGCGGGGUCGGAGAGUCGCCAAGCCCA